CCUACGGGCGGCAGCAGUGGGGAAUAUUGGACAAUGGGCGAAAGCCUGAUCCAGCCAUGCCGCGUGUGUGAAGAAGGCCUUCGGGUUGUAAAGCACUUUCAGUGGGGAAGAAAGCCUUGGGGCUAAUACCCUCGAGGAAGGACAUCACCCACAGAAGAAGCACCGACUAACUCCGUGCCAGCAGUCGCGGUAAUACGGAGGGUGCGAGCGUUAAUCGGAAUUACUGGGCGUAAAGCGCGCGUAGGCGGUCUGAUAAGCCGGUUGUGAAAGCCCCGGGCUCAACCUGGGAACGGCAUCCGGAACUGUCAGGCUAGAGUGCAGGAGAGGAAGGUAGAAUUCCCGGUGUAGCGGUGAAAUGCGUAGAGAUCGGGAGGAAUACCAGUGGCGAAGGCGGCCUUCUGGACUGACACUGACGCUGAGGUGCGAAAGCGUGGGUAGCAAACAGGAUUAGAUACCCCAGUAGUC
rnacentral:rRNA from 1 species